rnacentral:rRNA from 1 species
UAAGGAAUAUUGGUCAAUGGGCGCAAGCCUGAACCAGCCAUGCCGCGUGCAGGAAGACGGCCCUACGGGUUGUAAACUGCUUUUGUACCGGAAUAAACCUUUUCACGUGUGAGAAGCUGAAUGUACGGUAAGAAUAAGGAUCGGCUAACUCCGUGCCAGCAGCCGCGGUAAUACGGAGGAUCCAAGCGUUAUCCGGAUUUAUUGGGUUUAAAGGGUGCGUAGGCGGUUCUUUAAGUCAGGGGUGAAAGACGGUAGCUUAACUAUCGCAGUGCCUUUGAUACUGAAGAACUUGAAUACACUUGAGGUAGGCGGAAUGUGACAAGUAGCGGUGAAAUGCAUAGAUAUGUCACAGAACACCAAUUGCGAAGGCAGCUUACUAAAGUGUCAUUGACGCUGAGGCACGAAAGCGUGGGGAUCAAACAGGAUUAGAUACCCCCGUAGUCC